UGAUGAACAACAUUGAUGUGAUUAAAAUUUUGUUUUUAUCUGACUUCCUACUAGUUAAAUUUUGAUUGCAAAAUAUCUUAUAUUCCUGUCUGAAUAUAAAGAUGACCAAUGUGAUGGAAACACCAUACGCAGCAGUGCACCCCAUCUACUAUCAAACCAAACCAAUUCGUAUCUAAAUUGCUGUGAACUCGUGAUGGUGUGCGAUCAAAUGUUAUGAACAUGCAAUCUUUGUCCAGUCAAGAAUUCCAGGAUGUCUAUAAAUGGGAAGAAAGAGAAGAUGGAGAAUUAACAGAUUUCAGUACUGAAAUGGAAGACGGGGAACUUUCAGAUUCCAGUUUCACCAAACUGGACACAAGUCACACAACAGUGGGAAAAGAAGUCAUGGAAUAUACUUGCUUAGUCCCAAAAAUUCCCGAAAAGGAAGCAGUGGGUCACUUUAUUGGCGGGAAUAAAAACAAAGGACGACUGUUUGACUACUAUGUUAUAAUUGACUUUGAAGGAACUUGUGGAGUUCUAAAAAACCCAAGACAUAUCAAAGGUGGAAUACAAGAAAUAAUUGAAUUCCCUGCCAUUUUACUAAAUGGUCACAAUGGACUCAUUGAAGAUGAAUUCCAAUCCUUCUGCAGACCAGUUCUUAACCCUUCAUUGACAAAUUUUUGUAAAAAAUUUACAGGAAUCACACAGGAUGCUGUUGACAAAGCUCCUUUAUUCAAUGAAGUAUUUGUCUUAUUUGAAGAAUGGUUGCAGAAAAACCAAGUUAUUGGUUCCAACUAUUCAUUCGCGGUUGUGACCGAUGGACCUGACGACAUUCGUCAAUUUUUACAGAAGCAGUGUAAGAUUUCAGCAAUAGAUUUUCCAACGUACUGUAAGAACUGGAUAAAUAUUAAGAAAACUUUCGCUCGUUUCUACAAAAAUGGCAAUAUGCAAUGUCUGUCCCUAAAAAAUAUGAUUCGGGAUAUUGGAUGUGAAUUUCAAGGAAGAGCUCAUAGCGGCAUAGAUGAUGCCCGAAAUAUUGCUUCAAUUGUUCAACGUCUUUUGACGGACGGAGCGCGCGUUACGUUCAAUGAAAAGUUAGUUGUCAAUCGGGCCCAGAAACGUAAAAUAAGGCAGAAUUCUACAAAUACCAACCCAACCACACAAGCUAACCCAGUUAAAAAAAGGAAUUUGAAAGUUCAAACUGCCGUAAAGAAGGCAAAGACAAAAAAUCCUGCCAAGAAGACGGUUCCUGCCUUAAAAGGUUCAAUUACAAAAAAUGAUGUCAAACAUGAGCAAAUUAAAUCCAAGAAGAACCGGAAAAGAAACGCAAAACGUCCAAACAAGAAGGAACAAGUACAUGCCAAGGGUUUAAAAACUGCAGAUAAUUUAACAAAUACCAAACAAAUAAGGGAGAAAUUAAAACUUGCUGCAAAAAAUGUUAGAAAUCUUAGGAAAAGGUUGAAAUCUGCCCUACAUCAGGAAAAUAUUUGCAGUCCCAUUUUACCAUAAGGUAACUAGGGCACGGAAAUCCAAAUAAAUAAACAUUCGGCUUUUCGCUUAUUGUUUUGAACAGGAAAAUCCAGAUCCCAGCAACAACGAAUUUCGUUUUACAAAACUACAGCGCUGCGGUGCGCUACUAACCAACAGGCAAAAGCAACAUUUGAACAAUAUUGAGUUGGAGUAAAAGCUUUGCAUGAUCUCCGCUAGAAGGCUCCGAUCAUGAUGUGUCACUCGGAAAAGGUAAAUAAACUUUGAAGUAGCAAAA
rnacentral:misc_RNA from 1 species